rnacentral:rRNA from 1 species
CAGGCGUUUUGUGAAAGCCCUCGGCUCAACCGAGGAAUUGCUUGACGAACCGCGCGUCUUGAGGCAGGUAGGGGCUGUCGGAACGAUAGGUGGAGUGGUGAAAUGCGUUGAUAUCUAUCGGAACGCCGAAGGAGAAAUCAGGCAGCUGGGCCUGUCCUGACGCUGAGGUACGAAAGCGUGGGUAGCGAACGGGAUUAGAUACCCCGGUAGUCCACGCCGUAAACGAUGUGCACUAGAUCGAGGGGGUUCUGACACCGCUCUUGGUCGAAGCGAAAGUGUUAAGUGCACCGCCUGGGGAGUACGGUCGCAAGGCUAAAACUCAAAGGAAUUGACGGGGGCUCACACAAGCGGUGGAGCAUGUGGCUUAAUUCGAAGCAACGCGAAGAACCUUAUCCUGGGUUUGACAUGCACGGAUUAGCCCGGUGAAAGUCGGGUGACGCUCUUUGAGUGGAACGUGCACAGGUGCUGCAUGGCUGUCGUCAGCUCGUGCUGUGAAGUGUCGGGUUAAGUCCCUUAACGAGCGCAACCCCUGUCGCUAGUUGCCAGCGCGUCAUGGCGGGGACUCUAGCGAGACUGCCGGUGUCAAACCGGAGGAAGGUGGGGAUGACGUCAAGUCCGCAUGGCCUUUAUGCCCAGGGCUGCACACGUGCUACAAUGGUCGGUACAGAACGACGCAAUACCGCAAGGUGGAGCAAAUCGCAAAAGCCGGCCCCAGUUCGGAUUGCAGGCUGCAACUCGCCUGCAUGAAGUUG